rnacentral:piRNA from 1 species
UUCCAGUGACAGGGACUGUUGCCAUCUCCC